rnacentral:rRNA from 1 species
UUAACUGAAUACAUAGGGUAAGGAGGCGAACCGGGGGAACUGAAACAUCUAAGUACCCCGAGGAAAAGAAAUCAACCGAGAUUCCGAAAGUAGCGGCGAGCGAAAUUGGACUAGCCCUUAAGCUUUACACGCGUUAGACGAACGGUCUGGAAAGUCCGACGAUACAGGGUGAUAGUCCCGUAGUUGACGACGUGUGUUCAGUGAAAUCGAGUAGGGCGGGACACGUGAUAUCCUGUCUGAAUAUGGGGGGACCAUCCUCCAAGGCUAAAUACUACUGACUGACCGAUAGUGAACCAGUACCGUGAGGGAAAGGCGAAAAGAACCCCUGUGAGGGGAGUGAAAUAGAACCUGAAACCGUGUACGUACAAGCAGUAGGAGCAGGCUUUGUCCUGUGACUGCGUACCUUUUGUAUAAUGGGUCAGCGACUUAUAUUCAGUGGCAAGGUUAACCAUCUAGGGGAGCCGUAGGGAAACCGAGUCUUAACUGGGCGUUCAGUCUCUGGAUAUAGACCCGAAACCAGGUGAUCUAGCCAUGGGCAGGUUGAAGGUUGAGUAACAUCAACUGGAGGACCGAACCGACUAAUGUUGAAAAAUUAGCGGAUGACUUGUGGCUAGGGGUGAAAGGCCAAUCAAACCUGGAGAUAGCUGGUUCUCCCCGAAAGCUAUUUAGGUAGCGCCUCGGACGAAUACUACUGGGGGUAGAGCACUGUUAAGGCUAGGGGGUCAUCCCGACUUACCAACCCUUUGCAAACUCCGAAUACCAGUAAGUACUAUCCGGGAGACACACGGCGGGUGCUAACGUCCGUCGUGGAGAGGGAAACAACCCAGACCGCCAGCUAAGGUCCCAAAUUACUACUAAGUGGGAAACGAUGUGGGAAGGCUCAGACAGCCAGGAUGUUGGCUUAGAAGCAGCCAUCAUUUAAAGAAAGCGUAAUAGCUCACUGGUCGAGUCGGCCUGCGCGGAAGAUGUAACGGGGCUAAGUAGUAAACCGAAGCUGCGGCAAUAUACUUUUGUAUAUUGGGUAGGGGAGCGUUCUGUAAGCGGUUGAAGGUGUGUGGUAACGCAUGCUGGACGUAUCAGAAGUGCGAAUGCUGACAUGAGUAACGAUAAAGGGGGUGAAAAACCUCCUCGCCGGAAGACCAAGGGUUCCUGUCCAACGUUAAUCGGGGCAGGGUAAGUCGACCCCUAAGGCGAGGCCGAAAGGCGUAGUCGAUGGGAAACGGGUUAAUAUUCCCGUACUUCUUACAAUUGCGAUGGGGGGACGGAGAAGGCUAGGUGGGCCUGGCGACGGUUGUCCAGGUUCAAGUGCGUAGGCUUAAGAGUUAGGUAAAUCCGGCUCUUUUUAAGGCUGAGACACGACGUCGAGCAUCUACGGAUGUGAAGUCAUUGAUGCCAUGCUUCCAGGAAAAGCCUCUAAGCUUCAGAUUGUAAGGAAUCGUACCCCAAACCGACACAGGUGGUCGGGUAGAGAAUACCAAGGCGCUUGAGAGAACUCGGGUGAAGGAACUAGGCAAAAUGGUACCGUAACUUCGGGAGAAGGUACGCUCUUGAUGGUGAAGUCCCUUGCGGAUGGAGCUGACGAGAGUCGCAGAUACCAGGUGGCUGCAACUGUUUAUUAAAAACACAGCACUGUGCAAAAUCGUAAGAUGACGUAUACGGUGUGACGCCUGCCCGGUGCCGGAAGGUUAAUUGAUGGGGUUAGACUUCGGUCGAAGCUCUUGAUCGAAGCCCCGGUAAACGGCGGCCGUAACUAUAACGGUCCUAAGGUAGCGAAAUUCCUUGUCGGGUAAGUUCCGACCUGCACGAAUGGCGUAAUGAUGGCCACGCUGUCUCCACCCGAGACUCAGUGAAAUUGAAAUCGCUGUGAAGAUGCAGUGUACCCGCGGCUAGACGGAAAGACCCCGUGAACCUUUACUACAGCUUGGCACUGAACAUUGACCCUACAUGUGUAGGAUAGGUGGGAGGCUUUGAAGCACGUACGCCAGUAUGUGUGGAGCCGUCCUUGAAAUACCACCCUUGUAGUGUUGAUGUUCUAACGUCGACCCCUAAUCGGGGUUGCGGACAGUGCCUGGUGGGUAGUUUGACUGGGGCGGUCUCCUCCCAAAGAGUAACGGAGGAGCACGAAGGUGGGCUAAUCACGGUUGGACAUCGUGAGGUUAGUGCAAUGGCAUAAGCCCGCUUGACUGCGAGAAUGACAAUUCGAGCAGGUGCGAAAGCAGGUCAUAGUGAUCCGGUGGUUCUGAAUGGAAGGGCCAUCGCUCAACGGAUAAAAGGUACUCCGGGGAUAACAGGCUGAUACCGCCCAAGAGUUCAUAUCGACGGCGGUGUUUGGCACCUCGAUGUCGGCUCAUCACAUCCUGGGGCUGAAGUCGGUCCCAAGGGUAUGGCUGUUCGCCAUUUAAAGUGGUACGCGAGCUGGGUUUAGAACGUCGUGAGACAGUUCGGUCCCUAUCUGCCGUGGGCGUUGGAAGAUUGAAGGGGGCUGCUCCUAGUACGAGAGGACCGGAGUGGACGAACCUCUGGUGUUCGGGUUGUGUCGCCAGACGCAUUGCCCGGUAGCUAAGUUCGGAAUCGAUAACCGCUGAAAGCAUCUAAGCGGGAAGCGAGCCCUGAGAUGAGUCUUCCCUGAUACUUUAAGUAUCCUAAAGGGUUGUCGGAGACUACGACGUUGAUAGGUCAGGUGUGUAAGUGCUGUGAGGCAUUGAGCUAACUGAUACUAAUUGCCCGUGAGGCUUAACCAUACAACACCCAAGGGGUUU